rnacentral:lncRNA from 1 species
CAGAAGCAAAAAAAAAAAAAAAAAAAAUAGCAGAGAUCCCAUUAACAGGCCUAAUUCCCUGCUGUUUAAAGCUUGGAAUAAAAAAGAUGUUUCGGUUAAGGGAUCCUCAAGUGCCGCCAAAGUGGGAUCCCAGGCAGAGGAGGCGCGGAGAGUGAACGAAGGCUGUGAGGACUGCCAGCACGCUGUCACCUCAGUGGCGCACACCUGUGGACACAGGGUGCUGAUUGGUGUAUUUACAAUCCCUGAGCUAGACAUAAAGGUUCUCCAAGGCCCCACCAGAGCAGCUAGAUAGAGUGUCGAUUGGUGCAUUCACAAACUUUGAGCUAGGCACAGGGUGCUGAUUGGUUCAGUAAAUGUUGGCUAUAUUAUAUAAUUAUGACAGGUAGUAGAGCAUUUUGGUUCAGAGUACAGCCUCUGGAGCCAGGCUUCUUUGGUUCAAAUCUUAUCUUCAUCAGUAAAUGAUUUUCUGAUCUUGGAUAAGUUAGCUAAACUGAAUGUGCCUUGAUUUCUUCUUCUGUAAAAUGUGUUAAUAAAAUUACUUGCUUUAUUGGUUGUAAGAAAUGAGUUCACUCUGUCAAUGAAGAGUCAAACUGUAAAAUAUUUGAAGAGAUGUAUUCUGAGCCAAAUAUGAGUGGCCAAUGGCCCAUGACACAAGCCCCAGGAGAUCCUGAGAACAUGUGCCCAAGGUGGUUGGGCUACAGCUUGGUUUUAUACAUUUUAAGGAGACAUAUCAAUUAAUACAGGUAAGAUGUACAUUGGUUCUAUCUGGAAAAGUGGAGACAUCUGGAAGCAGGGGCAGAGGUGAGGGGGUUGCUUCUAAGUCAUAGACGGAUUCAAAGAUUUUCUGAUUGCCAAUUGGUUGAAAGAGUUAUUAUCUAAAGACUUGAACUCAAUGGAAAGGAAUGUCUAGGUUACUAUAAGGGAUUGUGGAGACCAAGGUUUUGUCAUGUAGAUGGAGCCUCCAGGUAGCAGGCUUCAGAGAGAAUAGAUUGUAAAUGUUUCUUAUCAAACUUAAAGAGUCUGUUCUAUCAGUCUUCUUUUUUUUUUUUUUUUUUUGACAGAGUUUCGCUCUUGUCUCCCAGGCUGGAGUGCAGUGGCACAAUCUUUUGGCUCACUGAAACCUCCGCCUCCCGGGUUCAAGUGAUUCUCCUGCCUCAGCCUCCCAAGUAGCUGGGAUUACAGGCAUGCUCCACCAUACCCAGCUAAUUUUUUGUAUUUAGUAGAGAUGAGAUUUCACCAUGUUGGUCAGGCUGGUCUCGAACUCCUGACCUCAGGUGAUCCACCUGCCUUGGCCUCCCAAAGUGCUGGGAUUACAGGCGUGAGCCACUGCGCCUGGCCUCUAACAGUCUUAAUGUCUCUGUAUUGAUAUUAAUGCUGGUCAGCUGUGCCUGAAUUCCAAAAUGGAGAAGGUUAUAAUGAAGCAUGUCUGACAUCCACUUCCCAUCAUGGCCUGAACUAGUUUUUCAAGUUGGCUUUGGAAUUCACUUAGCCGAGGGGAGAGUCCAUCAGUUCGUUGGGGGGUUAGAAUUUUAUUUUUGGUUUACAACUCUAUCAAACAUGUAGAACAGUUUCUGGCAUAUAUGAGGCACUCAAUUAAUUUUAGCUAUUCUUGUUGACAGUAUCCUUGGUGAUAGUGUUAUUGGCGAUCUUAAUCCUUAUUAUUUGGGCAACGACACAAUCAAGAACAUAUUACCUCAUAGCACCAUCUAGUGCUUAUUUUGGAAAAUGCCAAAUCCCUUUCCCUUGAACAACAGUCAUUUGGUGAGGAGAAUUUUUAAAAUUCCAAUUUUAGGAAUACAAAAGGAGUUUGGAAAUAUCAUGAUUUCAAAUUUUCUCCAGCCUAUCUGGGCUUUUAUUUAUAAAUGUCAGGGAUCUUGGUUGCAAAAGACAGAAACUGACUCUGGCUGAAUUUAGCAAAUUAUUGGGCAUUUCACAGAAUCAACAGAAAGGCAGGUAAACCAGGAUAAAGAAAUGAUCAGGAAUCAUGGGAGGACCUCAGUCAAGAUUUGCCAUAGGACCAGCUUGGUUGGUAUGUCACUACUGGCAACAACCACCUUCACUGCCUCUACACACCACCACCACAAAACACUGCUACAUCUGGACUCUACUGAUCUGACAUUCUGGUCUGCUAGAUGCAGUUUCUAUGAAUGAAUUCAAAAUGGCCACUUUUUGUAUAAACCUCUCAAGAUCCAAAGUCUUCAGUAAGAGCCUGGGUCCCCUAUGGACUCCCUGACCACUCAGGGCUUGUGGAGAGGGAAUAUGUGCUUCCCUUAGUUUCCACAGUAAGAGGCCUCAGCCUUGUUUUCCAGGCUCACAAUGGAGGAAUACCUCAAAAAAGAAGAGAGUUUGGACAUCCACAUCAAGUAGGGUUACUGGAUAAAAUACAGGAGACACAGUUAAGUUGGAAUUUCAGAAAAACAAUGAACACAUUUUUAGUAUGAGCAUGCCAAUAUUACAUGCAGCAUACUUAUAGCAAAAACUUGAAAAGAUGAAAAUGCCCGGUUUAAGUGUGGAGGGUACAGUGAGACGAGUACUCUUGCAUAUUACUGGUUGGUAUGCCCAUUAAUAUACUCAAGUGGAUUAAAAAUAUUCACAACUGCUGACCCUCAAAUACUGUUUUUAGGAAUCUUCAUAGCCUAUGACCCAAGAGCUGAAUUUUAAGGAGUGUAUCCUAAGAAAAUGAUCAGAAAUAGGCAAAAUAAUUUGUAUGCAGAGUGCUCAUUGCAGUUACUGUUCAUAAAGAAAAAUUGGAAAUAAAUCUAAAUAUGCAAGAUAAGAGAAUGGCCAAAUAAAUUGUGGCAAAUACAUAUGAUAGCAUCUUAUACAGUCAUUAAAAAUAUGUUCAUGAAGAAUUCUAGAUACGUGGAAAACUGACAAAGAAAUGUUCAGAGAUAAGAGCAGGGCAGA